rnacentral:rRNA from 1 species
UACGUAGGGUGCAAGCGUUAAUCGGAAUUACUGGGCGUAAAGGGCUCGUAGGUGGCCAACUAAGUCAGACGUGAAAUCCCUCGGCUUAACCGGGGAACUGCGUCUGAUACUGGAUGGCUUGAGUUUGGGAGAGGGACGCGGAAUUCCAGGUGUAGCGGUGAAAUGCGUAGAUAUCUGGAGGAACACCGGUGGCGAAGGCGGCGUCCUGGACCAAUACUGACACUGAGUGAGCGAAAGCCAGGGGAGCAAACGGG